GAUCUUAUUCAAAACUAGAUAACCCUUUUGUUAAAGUCCAUGUUUUGUUAAACUCUUUUGUUAAACUCCAUGUACAGAUGUGGACUGCAUACCUUAGUAACUAAACUGUAGGCAUGAUAGGUUGCCAGGUAUUUUAACAGGCUGGGUUGUCAUAAUAAGUAGACUAUGGUUUAACAGGUGUAUAGGAUUACAGACUCUUUGUGUUUCAUAUUUCUGUUUGGUGUGCUGGCAAGAAAAGCCAAGCCAGCUCACUCUCACUUUUGAUUUCGGAGAAGAAGGUCCAAUUUGGGGUGUUUCCUAACCAAGGAAAAGGGCGUGUGCCACCCUACCCAGUGCAGGGAGGUUCCUUUCUACUCGAUGCCGAAUUACGGCUGUCAACCUAGGGUCAGCCCAGGGUCAAUGUAGAGUCAAUGUAGGUCAGGGUAGCACCUACCCUCUAUGUCCAGGUCAUGAGUCACAAUGUCAUUCGAGGGGAAUGACUCACUUCAGUCAGCCGAAGCUAUUGUUCGUCGGACUCGACCGUAAUUCUUCCAAGUUAGAGCUUCAACUCAACUCUUGUUCUUCAUUCUUCAAGGACACGUGUCUUCGCUGAUGACGUCAGUCGUGUUCUUCGUCGUCGAUCAUCGGCAUACUUGUUCCUCGUCAUAAUCGUCCAAUCUUCGUAGUCGUCGUGGUUUGUCGAUCUCUUCUGUUUUCGAACUCCGCAUUUACCCGAUUGAAGGUUUGAUCAAGCAAU
rnacentral:lncRNA from 1 species